GAUGAACGCUGGCGGCGUGCCUAAUACAUGCAAGUCGAGCGAACAGACGAGGAGCUUGCUCCUUUGACGUUAGCGGCGGACGGGUGAGUAACACGUGGGUAACCUACCUAUAAGACUGGGAUAACUUCGGGAAACCGGAGCUAAUACCGGAUAAUAUUUCGAACCGCAUGGUUCGAUAGUGAAAGACGGCUUUGCUAUCACUUAUAGAUGGACCUGCGCCGUAUUAGCUAGUUGGUAAGGUAACGGCUUACCAAGGCAACGAUACGUAGCCGACCUGAGAGGGUGAUCGGCCACACUGGAACUGAGACACGGUCCAGACUCCUACGGGAGGCAGCAGUAGGGAAUCUUCCGCAAUGGGCGAAAGCCUGACGGAGCAACGCCGCGUGAGUGAUGAAGGUCUUCGGAUCGUAAAACUCUGUUAUUAGGGAAGAACAAACGUGUAAGUAACUGUGCACGUCUUGACGGUACCUAAUCAGAAAGCCACGGCUAACUACGUG
rnacentral:rRNA from 1 species